AUUGAACGCUGGCGGCAGGCCUAAAACAUGCAAGUCGAACGAGUGGCGGACGGGUGAGUAAUGUCUGGGAAACUGCCUGAUGGAGGGGGAUAACUACUGGAAACGGUAGCUAAUACCGCAUACCAUCAGAUGUGCCCAGAUGGUAUUAGCUUGUUGGUGGGGUAACGGCUCACCAAGGCGACGAGCCCUAGCUGGUCUGAGAGGAUGACGGGCCACACGGGAACUGAGACACGGUCCAGACUCCUGCGGGAGGCAGCAGUGGGGAAUAUUGGACAAUGGGCGAAAGCCGGAUGCAGCCAGGCCGCGUGUAUGAAGAAGGCCGUCGGGUUGUAAAGUACUUUCAGCGGGGAGGCGGUACCCGCAGAAGAAGCACCGGCUAACUCCGUGCCAGCAGCCGCGGUAAUUC
rnacentral:rRNA from 1 species